rnacentral:rRNA from 1 species
UGGCUCAGAUUGAACGCUGGCGGCAGGCCUAACACAUGCAAGUCGAACGGUAACAGGAAGAAGCUUGCUUCUUUGCUGACGAGUGGCGGACGGGUGAGUAAUGUCUGGGAAACUGCCUGAUGGAGGGGGAUAACUACUGGAAACGGUAGCUAAUACCGCAUAACGUCGCAAGACCAAAGAGGGGGACCUUCGGGCCUCUUGCCAUCGGAUGUGCCCAGAUGGGAUUAGCUAGUAGGUGGGGUAAAGGCUCACCUAGGCGACGAUCCCUAGCUGGUCUGAGAGGAUGACCAGCCACACUGGAACUGAGACACGGUCCAGACUCCUACGGGAGGCAGCAGUGGGGAAUAUUGCACAAUGGGCGCAAGCCUGAUGCAGCCAUGCCGCGUGUAUGAAGAAGGCCUUCGGGUUGUAAAGUACUUUCAGCGGGGAGGAAGGGAGUAAAGUUAAUACCUUUGCUCAUUGACGUUACCCGCAGAAGAAGCACCGGCUAACUCCGUGCCAGCAGCCGCGGUAAUACGGAGGGUGCAAGCGUUAAUCGGAAUUACUGGGCGUAAAGCGCACGCAGGCGGUUUGUUAAGUCAGAUGUGAAAUCCCCGGGCUCAACCUGGGAACUGCAUCUGAUACUGGCAAGCUUGAGUCUCGUAGAGGGGGGUAGAAUUCCAGGUGUAGCGGUGAAAUGCGUAGAGAUCUGGAGGAAUACCGGUGGCGAAGGCGGCCCCCUGGACGAAGACUGACGCUCAGGUGCGAAAGCGUGGGGAGCAAACAGGAUUAGAUACCCCGGUAGUCCACGCCGUAAACGAUGUCGACUUGGAGGUUGUGCCCGUUAAGGCGGGGCUUCCGGAGCUAACGCGUUAAGUCGACCGCGUGGGGGAGUGCGGACGCAAGGUUAAAACUCAAAUGAAUUGGACGGGGGCCCGCACAAGCGGUGGAGCAUGUGGUUUAAUUAGAUGCAACGCGAAGAACCUUACCUGGUCUUGACAUCCACAGAACUUUCCAGAGAUGGAUUGGUGCCUUCGGGAACUGUGAGACAGGUGCUGCAUGGCUGUCGUCAGCUCGUGUUGUGAAAUGUUGGGUUAAGUCCCGCAACGAGCGCAACCCUUAUCCUUUGUUGCCAGCGGUCCGGCCGGGAACUCAAAGGAGACUGCCAGUGAUAAACUGGAGGAAGGUGGGGAUGACGUCAAGUCAUCAUGGCCCUUACGACCAGGGCUACACACGUGCUACAAUGGCGCAUACAAAGAGAAGCGACCUCGCGAGAGCAAGCGGACCUCAUAAAGUGCGUCGUAGUCCGGAUUGGAGUCUGCAACUCGACUCCAUGAAGUCGGAAUCGCUAGUAAUCGUGGAUCAGAAUGCCACGGUGAAUACGUUCCCGGGCCUUGUACACACCGCCCGUCACACCAUGGGAGUGGGUUGCAAAAGAAGUAGGUAGCUUAACCUUCGGGAGGGCGCUUACCACUUUGUGAUUCAUG